GAUGAACGCUGGCGGCGUGCCUAAUACAUGCAAGUCGAGCGAAUGGGUUAAGAGCUUGCUCUUAUGAAGUUAGCGGCGGACGGGUGAGUAACACGUGGGUAACCUGCCCAUAAGACUGGGAUAACUCCGGGAAACCGGGGCUAAUACCGGAUAACAUUUUGAACCGCAUGGUUCGAAAUUGAAAGGCGGCUUCGGCUGUCACUUAUGGAUGGCCCCGCGUCGCAUUAGCUAGGUGGUGAGGUAACGGCUCACCAAGGCAACGAUGCGUAGCCGACCUGAGAGGGUGAUCGGCCACACUGGGACUGAGACACGGCCCAGACUCCUACGGGAGGCAGCAGUAGGGAAUCUUCCGCAAUGGACGAAGGUCUGACGGAGCAACGCCGCGUGAGUGAUGAAGGCUUUCGGGUCGUAAAACUCUGUUGUUAGGGAAGAACAAGUGCUAGUUGAAUAAGCUGACACCUUGACGGUACCUAACCAGAAAGCCACGGCUAACUACGUGCCAGCAGCCGCGGUAA
rnacentral:rRNA from 1 species